rnacentral:tRNA from 1 species
GCGGGGAUGCCGGAGCGGUCAAACGGGUUUGGUUUAGGACCAAAUGCUUAGUGCUACACAAGUUCGAAUCUUGUUCCCCGCA